GAAAGGUUUUAAUAGUUCUAAUGGGUCAAGUUUUUUCCAUACAGCAUUAGAUAAAUAAGAUUAGUUGGUAAUAGUUAUAUUGAUCCUGUGAACACAUUAGGAAAGAGUAAACUUAAGGUUAGAACCACAAGAACUUGCUUCUCUGGUCAGACCUAGUUAAACUUUUACCGCCCCCUGUGUUUUGAAUUGAGUUCACUUCCAUAGCAACCUGCAGUGUGUACAAAAUUACACUGAAAGGUUUGUGUCUGGCAAACUGCUCAAUGGCAGUCAGUGUGAAAAUACUGUAAGAGUAUUUUUUGUUCUUGUGGGGGACAAUGUGUGCAGCAAUGCUGACAGAGUUUACUCCUCUUACAGCAGACAAUUUUGAAACCUCUUUGGCUUCUGAUGACCUACUGACUCACUACUUCAAUGAUUUCUUGAGUCUGCCGUCUUUCCCAAAGGCUCUGAUGUACAACCAGGAGACGGGCUUGUUCGAGGUGGUGAGUGAAGCUGCUGAGUUUGUGUCCAGGAGUAUCAGACGUGACCUACACCGCAGCAAAUCACAACUUCUUAAUGAUGGCCCUGCAGCAAUGAUCAGAUCCCCGCCUGUAGAAAAUCAUUACACCGUCUGUUGCCUGGACAAAGAGGAAGGAAUUCAGUGGAUAAUGAGGGAGAGGCUGCCCUUUUUCCUCCAAAGUGAAUACUACAUCGAAUACAGACUUGCAAAGCUGUUGUCACAAUGGGACCCAAACUACUGUCUUCAGAGGAGGAAACUCACAUCGGAUCAAACCUUUGUGUCAGCACGGCAACAUCUUCAGUCGCAUUCCAACCUGAUUAAUAACAAAGCGCUGAAAGUCCCUACGUGUUCAUUUUCUCAAGAGGACAUCUCAGCAAACCAAGCAGCUGUGGGGUUUCACAACAUAGCACAUCCAUCAUCUGAAGAGAAGGAGCUUCUCAACACAAAAUCCUGCCCUGAGCCAGAAAACCCCCAUGCUAUUUCUUCUCUGUCCCCCUUCAGCCUUGAACUUAGAGAACCCAAAGGUAUCUUCAGCUCACAGGCAGACUUACAACAGCAUGUUACAGCACCAUCAGCUGGCAACUUAGAGGAGAAACAUCCCAAGGUCAACAGCUUAACUUUAGAUUCUUCUUAUCAACAAGCAGAGAUCAUGGCUGCAGAGAUAGUGCGACAGGUGCUAAUCAAUGCACUGAAUGUGAUGAAUACACAGAGCAAGACAGACAUUUCAGACUGUCUCUUUAAGUUAGGAGACCAGACAGGAGGAGAAAGACUGGAGGGGGAGAAAGAAACAGCUCAAGAGAGAAAGAGCAAAACUGGAGAGGAAGAAAAGGCAAAUAGGCCCAAGAAGAAUUGUGAGGUGGGAGAUUGGGGCACGGAUCAGGAAAAUGUUCUUGAUGUGUGUUGCCCUGGUCCCUGCUGCCAUGGCACUAGACCAGGAUUCGAGGAGUUCAAGGAGUUUUUGCGAGGGACAUGUGGAGAGAAGCUGCUCAACCUGUGGAUGGAUAUAGAGAGACUGAAAGCCACACAGAGGAGAGAGCGAAAGAAAAGGUAUGUGGUCUUGAUGAGGAGCUCCUACCUCCUGAGCAGCAGCCAGAGCAGCCUGAACGUGGAGCUGCUCUCCAGGCUGGGGCUCUCUACCUCCCCCUGCUGGACAGAGGAGAAACUGUGCCUCAUUCAGCCUUUCCUUACUGAGUCCCUGCUCCACUACUGGGUUCCAAGGUUCGGGACUUCCCAGCAUGUCCAGAAAGACCACGGUGACCAUCCUCAUCCAGGACUGUGGGAAGAGAUGUGUUUUAGCCCUCUGUCAGGCACACAGAAUCAGCUGGGCUGUUGGACCCUGUCUCUUCUCUGCUCAGACUCCACCCUACCCCUGUCAUCUCCAGCUGUCCACACGCAGUUAUAUUCCAGCAGAAGUCAGCUCCUGAGCAGCAGAAGGAUAGAGAAGAUGUUACAGGCUCUGUGUGUUGACUCGUGGGCCGGUUUAUACUUCACAAACUUCUGUGAACAAUCUGGAAACCAGUUGUGGGAGAAUGCUGUUAACUUCUGGAUGGACCUGCAGCACUACCGUGAGCUGUUCUAUCAAGACGGACUGGACCCCUACAGAGUACAGAGAGAGGCACAGUUGCUUUACUCUACUUAUCUUUUCAGCUCUGCCAGAAGGAGUGUUGGUGUAAAUGAAGAGAUCAGGAGGGAGGUGUACAGUUGUAUGAUCCCUGCCUUUGAGGAGCUGUUUGACAGGGCUGAGGAGCACACACUGAACAUCCUGCUGGAGCCGUGGAUGCUGCUGGUCAGCAGAGACGACGGCUCCUUCCAGAAGGUCUGCUUGCUGGAGGAGGUGCGCUGUGUUGACAGUCCGGAGUACAGGGAACUCCAGAGUCUUUACAAGGAAUCAAAGCGUCGACUAAAUCAAAUGGAGCAGUGUGAGUCCACACUGUCGUCCUCUCCUGUUACUCCUUCUAGUCUCCUCUCAAUGGGUUUUGGGACACCAGAGACCCGGUCAAGAGUGUCCCAGAAUUACCAAGGGUACCGGCUGGGUUCCUUACUUCGUCAUCGACAUGAGAUCGGGCAUUUUAUGUCCUUCUUAAAGAGUCAGAACGCCAGCAUCCAUCUGACAUGCUGGCUGGAUCUGGAGCAGUACAAGAGGACUCCACAGAAGGACACGGCAGUCAGAGAGGAGAGGUCGUCUCAUAUUGCAACCAGCUACCUCAACUGGAAGUACUUCUUCGGGCCUGACAGUCCGGCCACAACAGAGCAACAGAACGAUAUAUUGCGUUUGGCAGGAGGACAGGAGCGUCUGAGGCUAGACUGCCUCUCAAACCCAGUCAUCGUGGAGAUUCAGGAUAUCGUCAGGAGUCACAUUGAGAAGAGAUGGCUGCCUUUGUUUUUGUCCACGGCAGAGUUCACCGAGCGACAGAAGCACCAAUCAAAGCCCCAAGCAGCAGACAGGCUCUCGCUAAACCCCUACAGUCGGCGCAGAGCGAGGAGAGAAGCCUGGAAGGCUGAGGGAUUGUGGAUGAGUUCCUCCAAAGAGAUUCUCCUGUUUCGACGGAUCCUCCUCAACCCGGCCACUUGUCUGCAGUUCCAGCACUUUGUCUUUCUAAAGGGAGACCUCCUGGAAAAUGACUUGCUAUUCUGGCUGGAGGUGCAGAGGUACAAGGACCUCUGUCAUUCCAACAGUGAUGAGGCUGACAUCCAGCAGAAGAUCUCCACCAUUAUAAACUGCUUCAUUAACUCCUCCAUGCCCCCGGCCCUGCAGAUCGACAUCCCUCCUGAACAGGCCCAGCACAUCCUGGAGGAACGCCACGAGCUGGGCCCGUACAUCUUCAGAGAGGCACAGAUGUCAGUGUUCAGUGAACUGCUCAGGUACUGGCCUGAGUUUCAAGAGCUGAGCAGCUGCGUCCAAGAGGAGCAGCUCCUUCCUCUGCUGCAGGAGAAACGAGUCACACUCAGAGCCAGAGUGCGGAGACUGAGGAGGAAGGAGGACGAAGCGGAGGAGGAAGAGACGGAGAGAAGGAGAGCUCAGAAAAAGUUGGAGAGACGAGAGUCAAGUUUGCAAGAGGAUGACGAGACAGAGACAGAUGAAGAUAAAGUCACAGAAGAGCAGGAGCAAAGUAGAGAAAAAACUCCUACACAGUGGUUGUCGUGGUCCUACUCCAAAUACAUGGCAGCUCUGAAAAGAGAGGAAGUGCUGCUGAGGAGGCAGAGUGAGCUAGACGUCUCCACAGUUUCUGAUUCCUCCUCUCGCUGCAGCGUCAGGUCAGGAGGCAGGAAACACAGCUCCCAGCAGCCGUCAUGUCGCUCCUCCGGGAGGGAGAGCAAACGGCAUAACAGGAGAGUCACAGCCUGCAAUAUGAAGUGACAUCAAGGUGUGUGAAUCGUCUUCAUGUAGCAUGACUUUGACACAACGAGGAUGACGGAGGAGCGUCCUGAGAGGAGCUGCUGCUGACAUCUGGACGAAGAUCUCACCGUAUCCAGUCUGGGACACCAGUUCAGCUGCUCCUCCGAUGGGCUUGGUGAAAACCCCCACGAUGCCUUUCCCCACUCCAGAGAUGACCCCUUUGGCUUUGCUCCCAGCUGAGCUCUGCAUUUCCCAGUUCUUCUGGAAGUUCUGCAUGGGCUGGUCCACGAUGCCUGCGAUGGCCCCUGAAAGAACAAGAAGAAGAUGUUCCCUUUUACUUCUUACGUACUGAAGACAAGACUUGAAUUAAUGUGGCAGAACAACACGUGCAAAUGAUCCCACAGAGAACAUAAGAAUGAAUCCUUCUUCCUCUGUUUCUUUCACUGGUGAGAAAAUAAACAUUUAUCUGUGUUUUCAAGAUGGGGAAUAAAAGCAUGAGGUUUAACUGAA